rnacentral:rRNA from 1 species
AUUGAACGCUGGCGGAAUGCCUUACACAUGCCAGUCGAGCGGCAGCGCGGCCUUCGGUCUGGCGGCGAGCGGCGAACGGGUGAGUAAUGCAUCGGAACAUGCCCAGUCGUGGGGGAUAACACUUCGAAAGAAGUGCUAAUACCGCAUACGUCCUGAGGGGGAAAGCGGGGGAUCGCAAGACCUCGCGCGAUUGGAGUGGCCGAUGUCAGAUUAGCUAGUUGGUGGGGUAAAGGCCUACCAAGGCGACGAUCUGUAGCUGGUCUGAGAGGAUGAUCAGCCACACUGGGACUGAGACACGGCCCAGACUCCUACGGGAGGCAGCAGUGGGGAAUUUUGGACAAUGGGGGCAACCCUGAUCCAGCCAUUCCGCGUGAGUGAAGAAGGCCUUCGGGUUGUAAAGCUCUUUCGGCAGGAACGAAACGGUGGGCUCUAACAUAGUCCGCUAAUGACGGUACCUGAAGAAGAAGCACCGGCUAACUACGUG